AUUAGAAGUAAGAAAUGAGAAAUUAGAAGUGAUGAAAGUUGAAAGAAAAGGCAUGAGAGUGAUGAAAGUGAGAAAGAAAUAGAAGAGAAGCAAAAAGAGGUAAAUGUUCAUUUUAAUUUUAUUGAUAUGUAAUAAAUUGAGUGUUAAAUAUGUGAAUUUUAUUUAAGUAGUAGAGAUAGAAAGUCUAUUAUAAAUUGUAAUUCAUAGAUAGUGAUAUAAUUUGUGUUCGAGUAGUUAUGAUAAAACUAUAUGUUUAUGAUGAUGUUAAGUAUUGGUAUGAGU
rnacentral:lncRNA from 1 species